AGCGGCAGGCUUAACACAUGCAAGUCGAGGGGCAGCAUAAUGGAUAGCAAUAUCUAUGGUGGCGACCGGCGCACGGGUGCGUAACGCGUAUGCAACCUACCUUUAACAGGGGGAUAACACUGAGAAAUUGGUACUAAUACCCCAUAAUAUCAUAGAAGGCAUCUUUUAUGGUUGAAAAUUCCGAUGGUUAGAGAUGGGCAUGCGUUGUAUUAGCUAGUUGGUGAGGUAACGGCUCACCAAGGCGACGAUACAUAGGGGGACUGAGAGGUUAACCCCCCACACUGGUACUGAGACACGGACCAGACUCCUACGGGAGGCAGCAGUGAGGAAUAUUGGUCAAUGGACGCAAGUCUGAACCAGCCAUGCCGCGUGCAGGAUGACGGCUCUAUGAGUUGUAAACUGCUUUUGUACUAGGGUAAACUCACCUACGUGUAGGUGACUGAAAGUAUAGUACGAAUAAGGAUCGGCUAACUCCGUG
rnacentral:rRNA from 1 species